rnacentral:tRNA from 1 species
AGCGUGAUACUUUAAAUAAAAGGUUUGAUUUGCGUUCAAAAAUUGGGGAGUAUUUCCUCUUACGUUA